UAGAGUUUGAUCCUGGCUCAGAUUGAACGCUGGCGGCAUGCCUUACACAUGCAAGUCGAACGGUAACAGGUCUUCGGACGCUGACGAGUGGCGAACGGGUGAGUAAUACAUCGGAACGUGCCCAGUCGUGGGGGAUAACUACUCGAAAGAGUAGCUAAUACCGCAUACGAUCUGAGGAUGAAAGCGGGGGACCUUCGGGCCUCGCGCGAUUGGAGCGGCCGAUGGCAGAUUAGGUAGUUGGUGGGAUAAAAGCUUACCAAGCCGACGAUCUGUAGCUGGUCUGAGAGGACGACCAGCCACACUGGGACUGAGACACGGCCCAGACUCCUACGGGAGGCAGCAGUGGGGAAUUUUGGACAAUGGGCGAAAGCCUGAUCCAGCAAUGCCGCGUGCAGGAUGAAGGCCUUCGGGUUGUAAACUGCUUUUGUACGGAACGAAAAAGCUCCUUCUAAUACAGGGGGCCCAUGACGGUACCGUAAGAAUAAGCACCGGCUAACUACGUGCCAGCAGCCGCGGUAAUACGUAGGGUGCGAGCGUUAAUCGGAAUUACUGGGCGUAAAGCGUGCGCAGGCGGUUAUGUAAGACAGAUGUGAAAUCCCCGGGCUCAACCUGGGAACUGCAUUUGUGACUGCAUGGCUAGAGUACGGUAGAGGGGGAUGGAAUUCCGCGUGUAGCAGUGAAAUGCGUAGAUAUGCGGAGGAACACCGAUGGCGAAGGCAAUCCCCUGGACCUGUACUGACGCUCAUGCACGAAAGCGUGGGGAGCAAACAGGAUUAGAUACUCCUGGUAGUCCACGCUCUAAACGAUGUCAACU
rnacentral:rRNA from 1 species